rnacentral:sRNA from 1 species
AAAUAAUCUGGGGCGGUAUAUCACUUCCCGUGUAUGAUUGAACCUGCAGACGCGCGGCGUCGGGGUUCAUUUUUGU